CCUACGGGAGGCAGCAGUGGGGAAUAUUGCGCAAUGGGCGAAAGCCUGACGCAGCAACGCCGCGUGAGUGAUGAAGGCUUUCGAGUCGUAAAGCUCUGUUAAGGGGGACGAAUGACCGCUGGGAACAAUACCUCAGCGGCCUGACGGUACCUCUAGAGGAAGCACCGGCUAACUCCGUGCCAGCAGCCGCGGUAAUACGGAGGGUGCAAGCGUUGUUCGGAAUUACUGGGCGUAAAGCGCGUGUAGGCGGACCCGGUAGUCGGGUGUGAAAGCCCUGGGCUCAACCCAGGAAGUGCGCCCGAAACCACGGGUCUAGAGGUCCGGAGAGGAUCGGGGAAUUCCCAGUGUAGAGGUGAAAUUCGUAGAUAUUGGGAAGAACACCGGUGGCGAAGGCGCCGAUCUAGACGGAUCCUGACGCUGAGAUGCGAAAGCGUGGGUAGCAAACAGGAUUAGAUACCCUGGUAGUCCACGCUGUAAACGAUGUGCACUAGGUGUCGGGGGUAUUGACCCCCCCGGUGCCGACGCUAACGCAUUAAGUGCACCGCCUGGGAAGUACGGCCGCAAGGUUGAAACUCAAAGGAAUUGACGG
rnacentral:rRNA from 1 species